rnacentral:rRNA from 1 species
UACGUAGGGGGCGAGCGUUGUCCGGAGUUACUGGGCGUAAAGGGCCCGCAGGCGGUCGUGUAAGUUCAGACUGACACUCCUCGGCUUCACCGAGGAAGGUGUAUGAAAACUACAUGACUUGAGGGAUAGAGAGGGACAUGGAAUUCCGGGUGGAGUGGUGAAAUGCGUAGAUAUCCGGAGGAACACCAAAGGCGAAGGCAAUGUCCUGGCUAUCAUCUGACGCUCAGGGGCGAAAGCUAGGGGAGCGAACGG